GACGAACGCUGGCGGCGUGCUUAACACAUGCCAGUCGAACGGAAAGGCCCUGCUUGCAGGGUACUCGAGUGGCGAACGGGUGAGUAACACGUGGGUGAUCUGCCCUGCACUUCGGGUUAAGCCUGGGAAACUGGGUCUAAUACCGGAAAGGAGCCAUUUUGAGUGUGAUGGUUGGAAAGUUUUUUCGGUGUAGGAUGAGCCCGCGGCCUAUCAGCUUGUUGGUGGGGUAAUGGCCUACCAAGGCGGCGACGGGUAGCCGGCCUGAGAGGGUGGACGGCCACAUUGGGACUGAGGUACGGCCCAGACUCGUACGGGAGGCAGCGGUGGGGAAUAUUGCACAAUGGGCGCAAGCCUGAUGCGGAGACGCCGCGUGGGGGAUGACGGCCUUCGGGUUGUAAACUCCUUUCGCUAGGGACGAAGCUUUUUGUGACGGUACCUAGAUAAGAAGCACCGGCUAACUACGU
rnacentral:rRNA from 1 species